UACAGAGGGUGCGAACGUUGCUCGGAAUUACUGGGCGUAAAGCGCGUGUAGGCGGGGUCGCAAGUCAGAUGUGAAAGCCCCGGGCUCAACCCGGGAACUGCAUCUGAAACUGCGAUCCUUGAGUGUCGGAGAGGGUAGCGGAAUUCCUGGUGUAGAGGUGAAAUUCGUAGAUAUCAGGAGGAACACCGGUGGCGAAGGCGGCAUCCUGGACCGGCAUUGACGCUGAGGCGCGAAAGCCAGGGGAGCAAACGGG
rnacentral:rRNA from 1 species